rnacentral:rRNA from 1 species
AACGAACGCUGGCGGCAGGCCUAAAACAUGCAAGUCGAACGCUGUAGCAAUACAGAGUGGCGCACGGGUGAGUAACACGUGGGAAUGUGCCUUUUGGUACGGAACAACUUUUGGAAACGAAAGCUAAUACCGUAUGGUCCCUUCGGGGUAAAGAUUUAUCGCCAAAAGAGCAGCCCGCGUCUGAUUAGCUAGUUGGUAGGGUAAUGGCCUACCAAGGCGACGAUCAGUAGCUGGUCUGAGAGGACGAUCAGCCACACUGGGACUGAGACACGGCCCAGACUCCUACGGGAGGCAGCAGUUAGGAAUAUUGGACGAUGGGCGCAAGCCUGAUCCAGCCAUGCCGCGUGAGUGAUGAAGGCCUUCGGGUUGUAAAGCUCUUUAGUCCACGAAUAUAAUGACUGUAGUGGAAGAAUAAGCCCCGGCUAACUUCGUGCCAGCCGCCGCGGUAAAAC